rnacentral:rRNA from 1 species
AGGGUUCGAUUAUGGCUCAGAUUGAACGCUGGCGGUAGGCUUAACACAUGCAAGUCGUGCGAGAAAGUAUCUUCGGAUAUGAGUAGAGCGGCGGACGGGUGAGUAACGCGUAGGAAUCUACCUAGUAGAAGGGGAUAGCCCGGGGAAACCCGGAUUAAUACCGUAUACCUCCUUCGGGAGAAAGAAGGCCUCUCUUUGAAGCUUUCGCUACUAGAUGAGCCUGCGUAAGAUUAGCUUGUUGGUGAGGUAAAGGCUCACCAAGGCGACGAUCUUUAGCUGGUCUGAGAGGACGAUCAGCCACAUUGGGACUGAGACACGGCCCAGACUCCUACGGGAGGCAGCAGUGGGGAAUAUUGGGCAAUGGGCGCAAGCCUGAUCCAGCCAUACCGCGUGUGUGAAGAAGGCCUUCGGGUUGUAAAGCACUUUAAGCAGGGAGAAAAAGUUAUAAGUUAAUACCUUAUAACCCUGAUGUUACCUGCAGAAUAAGCACCGGCUAAUUCCGUGCCAGCCGCCGCG